rnacentral:rRNA from 1 species
CCUACGGGACGCAGCAGUUAGGAAUAUUCGUCAAUGGGGGAAACCCUGAACGAGCAAUGCCGCGUGAAGGAUGACGGUCCUAUGGAUUGUAAACUUCUGUUGUUAGGGAAGAACGACCUAAGUAGGAAAUGACUUAGGAGUGACGGUACCUUUCAAGAAAGCUCCGGCUAACUACGUGCCAGCAGCCGCGGUAAUACGUAGGGAGCGAGCGUUAUCCGGAUUUAUUGGGUGUAAGGGAGCGUAGACGGCAGUGCAAGUCUGAAGUGAAAGGCAAGGGCUCAACCCUUGGACUGCUUUGGAAACUG